rnacentral:rRNA from 1 species
AAAAGGUGGCUAUGCUACCGCUUUUGGAUGGGCCCGCGGCGCAUUAGCUAGUUGGUGGGGUAAAGGCUUACCAAGGCAAUGAUGCGUAGCCGAACUGAGAGGUUGAUCGGCCACAUUGGGACUGAGACACGGCCCAAACUCCUACGGGAGGCAGCAGUAGGGAAUCUUCCACAAUGGGCGAAAGCCUGAUGGAGCAACGCCGCGUGGGUGAAGAAGGUCUUCGGAUCGUAAAACCCUGUUGUUAGAGAAGAAAGUGCGUGAGAGUAACUGUUCACGUUUCGACGGUAUCUAACCAGAAAGCCACGGCUAACUACGUGCCAGCAGCCGCGGUAAUACGUAGGUGGCAAGCGUUAUCCGGAUUUAUUGGGCGUAAAGGGAACGCAGGCGGUCUUUUAAGUCUGAUGUGAAAGCCUUCGGCUUAACCGGAGUAGUGCAUUGGAAACUGGGAGACUUGAGUGCAGAAGAGGAGAGUGGAACUCCAUGUGUAGCGGUGAAAUGCGUAGAUAUAUGGAAGAACACCAGUGGCGAAAGCGGCUCUCUGGUCUGUAACUGACGCUGGGGUUCGAAAGCGUGGGUAGCAAACAGGAUUAGAUACCCUGGUAGUCCACGCCGUAAACGAUGAAUGCUAAGUGUUGGAGGGUUUCCGCCCUUCAGUGCUGC